rnacentral:rRNA from 1 species
CCAAUAGCGUAUAUUAAAGUUGUUGCAGUUAAAAAGCUCGUAGUUGAAUUUCGGGAUCAAGUCGUCGGUCGUGCUUAGGUACGUACUGGCGUCAUUGAUUUCUCCCUUCUGACGAACCAUGAUGUCAUUAAUUUGGUGUCAUGGGGAAUCAGGACUGUUACUUUGAAAAAAUUAGAGUGUUUAAAGCAGGCUCACGCUUGAAUACAUUAGCAUGGAAUAAUGAAAUAGGACGUUCGAUCCUAUUUUGUUGGUUUUAGGAUCAACGUAAUGAUUAAUAGGGAUAGUUGGGGGCAUUAGUAUUCAAUUGUCAGAGGUGAAAUUCUUGGAUUUAUUGAAGACUAACUACUGCGAAAGCAUUUGCCAAGGAUGUUUUCAUUAAUCAAGAACGAAAGUUAGGGGAUCGAAGACGAUCAGAUACCGUCGUAGUCUUAACCAUAAACUAUGCCGACUAGGGAUCGGAUGAUGUUAAUUUUUUUAAUGACUCAUUCGGCGCCUUACG